rnacentral:rRNA from 1 species
AGCGAACGCUGGCGGCAGGCUUAACACAUGCAAGUCGAGCGGGCCCUUCGGGGUCAGCGGCGGACGGGUGAGUAACGCGUGGGAACGUGCCUUCUGGUCUGGAAUAACCCUGGGAAACUAGGGCUAUUACCGGAUACGCCCUUUUGGGGAAAGGUUUACUGCCGGAAGAUCGGCCCGCGUCUGAUUAGCUAGUUGGUGGGGUAACGGCCUACCAAGGCGACGAUCAGUAGCUGGUCUGAGAGGAUGAUCAGCCACACUGGGACUGAGACACGGCCCAGACUCCUACGGGAGGUAGCAGUGGGGAAUAUUGGACAAUGGGCGCAAGCCUGAUCCAGCCAUGCCGCGUGAGUGAUGAAGGCCUUAGGGUUGUAAAGCUCUUUUAUCCGGGACGAUAAUGACGGUACCGGAGGAAUAAGCCCCGGCUAACUUCGUG